rnacentral:misc_RNA from 1 species
AUAUAAGUAUAUAUUUUUAAGUUAUGCAUUAAAUGUGUCAUUUGUUAAUAAAGCUUAUUAAUUUUUUUUAGCCUGGUACCGAGGAGAAAAAAGUACGAAGUUUGCAGUAACACGAAUAUGGAGGGAGCCAGAAUAUGGAGUAGCUGAUCACAUUAUUGAUUGCUAUUUUAGUAUAGUUAAUCCUCGUCACGGCCGCGCUAGAAAAAAUGCCAAAAAGAUUCAGUAUCGAAAUCUACCAUCAAAAUCUGCCCCAGUAAGAACAUCACAGUGAAAAAUUUCCAGUGUCUUUUAGUCCAAACCCGAAGGCACAAGAAAAAGCACUACAGCGCUAUCUCAAAUAUCUAGUAAUAGAAAAGGCAGCGAUUUCGUGAUCGCUCCACUAUCCGUUGAACCGCAUCUUAUUAAUACAACAGAAAUAUUAGCUUCAUUGUUGAAGCAGUGGAAUUUGAUAAAGAAUGACGUUGAAAUAUGCAACCAAAGAAAGCGAUAUAAAAUAUUUUUUACGAAGAAAAACGGAAGGAUGACUGUGUUAUUGUAAUGAUGUGAAAUGUUUGUUUGGUGCAAUCGAAAUCCCUUGCAUGUCUUCUGCAUAGCGUCUCUUCAUCGAGAGCUCUAGAAGCAGCUUAAAAGCAGCUCUUUUUCAUAAUGGAAAUACAUUUCCAUUUCUUCUUCUGGCUCAUUCUGUAACGCUAAGAAAAAUAAGAGAACUUUAAAAUGGUGCUUGAAAAUUUUAAAAUAUGAAGAGAAGGUAGGUAUGUCUGGCCAGUGGCCAGUGAUAGGAGAUUUCAAAAUAAAGUAGUUGGUUUUCUAGUGGGAAUACAAGGCACAUACAUUAAAUAUCCGUGUAACUUUUGCUUAUGGGAUAGUAAAGUCGAUGUACUUCACUACUAGCAGAACAUUGCACAUAACCUAGGGUCUCAUAAAGCUGUUUGUAAAUAUUCUUAUGCCUUCAGUGUACACAUGCAAUAGGCUCACUCGGGUAAAUUUAAAGACAACUUGGUUGCAUAUUCACAAGAGCAAGGGGAACGCUUUUACCAAGAUGUAAUAAACUUCGUUCUGAUAAUUUUUAACUACGUCUUUACUGGAAUCAAACAUCGGCUAUCUGUACAGAGGCAGGAGAAUGUGAUAAUAUUAAAAUCAAACGUGGGGUCCGACAGGGAUGUAUACCAAUACCUCUGCUGUUCAAAAUAUACUCUGAGGAGAUCUUUCAAGAAGCAGUAGAGGACUUUGACGAUGGAAUUCUAAUCAACGGAAAAUAAUACGCUGACGACACAGUGGUAUUCGUUGAUAGUUAUGAAAUCUUCCAGAAAAGAAUUAAUAGCAUAGAGGUAAGUCAGAGAUAUGGAUUUCCAUUAAACAUUAAGAAACACUGAUGACGAUCUCCAGAGCCGUGCGGUACAUCUUUUCAAUAUGAUGCAAGUCUUCGAAAUGCCGCCCCUUAAAUAUUAUUGAAACUUGACUUUUAUUUUUAUUAAAUGCAACUGCACAAAAUGAACUAAAACUUUU